rnacentral:pre_miRNA from 1 species
UACAUACUCCCUCCGUCCGGAAUUACUUGUCAUCAAAAUGGAUGAAAAUGGAUGUAUCUAGAACUAAAAUACAUCUAGAUACAUCCAUUUCAAUGACAAGUAUUUCCGGACAGAGGGAGUAGAUG